rnacentral:rRNA from 1 species
AUUGAACGCUGGCGGCAUGCCUUACACAUGCAAGUCGAACGGCAGCACGGGAGCAAUCCUGGUGGCGAGUGGCGAACGGGUGAGUAAUAUAUCGGAACGUGCCCAGUCGUGGGGAUAACGUAGCGAAAGCUACGCUAAUACCGCAUACGAUCUAUGGAUGAAAGCGGGGGAUCGCAAGACCUCGCGCGAUUGGAGCGGCCGAUAUCAGAUUAGGUAGUUGGUGAGGUAAAGGCUCGCCAAGCCGACGAUCUGUAGCUGGUCUGAGAGGACGGACCAGCCACACUGGGACUGAGACACGGCCCAGACUCCUACGGGAGGCAGCAGUGGGGAAUUUUUGGGACAAUGGGCGCAAGCCUGAUCCAGCAAUGCCGCGUGCAGGAUGAAGGCCUCGGUUGUAACUAGCUUUGUACGGUAACGAAACGGUAC